rnacentral:lncRNA from 10 species
ACAAGGCUUUACAACCAUUAUCUGCUUCAAUGUUCAUCACCUCUACGUGGAAGUUACCAUCAUCACACGAGAGAUGGUGGGUGAAGCCAAGGCUUAAGAACACUAGUUCGGGAAAUGGUGACCCAGCUGCUCCAGGGUGACUUGAGUUCAGAAGAAAAGAUAUGCCUCGGGAGAUUGUAGGGUACACUCUUUCCAUCUGUUGAGUCUCUGAGAGUUAAAAACCUAUGCAAGAUGGAUUUUUUUUUGCCAUUUAACGUGAUGGGAUAUGGUGGAACUACAUGCUUGCUGUGACUCCUUUGUGUUUUUCUCAAUGUAUACCAUUUUAGGUGGCCCGAGGGUGUUCUUGAAAACGUAGAACUAAUUCUUCAAAGAGUAUUUAUACAGUAACCCAAUUAUAGAAGAGACCUAAGUAGACUCUGAUCAGGCUACAGGGCAACCUGGUGGGGUGAGAGAAGGCAUAAUCUCUGCCUAAAUAAGUUCCGUAGAAUCAUUAGAAAACCACUGGAUUCAGUGAUCUCUAAGGUAUUUUAUGACUCUAGAGACAUUGACCUUAGUUAUUAGAUAAACUCUGAUGGUUUACGAUUAAAGGGAUGAACAAAACAUGACCUAGAAAUACAAUUAUAAGAUAAAAUCUACAUUCCUCAAUGGCGUUUAAGGUGUGGUUUAUCAAACACCUGUAUCAGAAACACUGUGGUUCUUUUUAGCAAUACAGAUCAUAGGUCUUCUCCAAGGCCUACCAAAUCAUAGUGGAAGAGACCUGGCCAUUUGCAGUUUAUCAAAUCCCUUAGAUGAUUCUUAAACAUAUUAAAGUUUGAAAACCAGUGAUGUAGAGCAGUGAUUUAAA